GUCUAUUUUUCUUAUUAUAAUUAUUAUAUACAUUUUGUCUUGAAAGAGAAACCACACCACAUCGCCAUUUUAAAAGUAACAAAUUUUUUAGAUUGAUGAUAAACUAGUGAGGAGAUUGAAAUUCAUUUUGAUGCUACUGAAAAAACAAGUCGUCUCCCUCCUAUGAUGUUGUGGUGCAUCUGUUAAAUUUCCAUCUUGAAAACUCUUGUAGUUAAUUAAUUAAGAUUGUCCUAACGGGUGAGAAGAAAUUGAUUUUAGUGCUACUAAAACAACCGACGCUUUUGAUGUCUUCACCAUACAAUAUUAUGCAGUUAAUUUUGGCCCCGAGAAUGGGAGGCAACUGAAAAUUAAUUUGGAAACAACGGAAAGAACAUUAUCUGCAGUGGCGUCCCUCCUAGAUUUGAAUUGCUCAUAAUACUGGUAGCCUUUAGAACGCUACUUUCUGUAGUUAAUUAAGCGUAAAUUGGUUUUAUCGUGCAUCUAUGGUAUUUCAAUAUUCAUCUAUUGUCUGCAUCAAAAUCUGUCAUUAAGUAAACUUGACGUUUGUCGCCAUUUUAUAGUUCAGCUGUUUUAUUUGCUUUUUGAUGCGUGUUUUAGAUCGUCCAACAAAUGAGAGAGAAUUAAAGUUCAGCUUGGUCAACCAAUGUCUGGAUGGGUGUGGUUUUUCAUGGAGUAUAUUCUUGAUUUGCUGUUUCGUCUUCGCCUUGCAACAUCAUGUAGUUAAUUUUUAACCCAUGAGUUAGAGCAACUGGAUAUUUAUUUGGUUUCCGCUAAAAUAACAAAUUUUCUGCAAGUGGUAUUUCUCUUGGACUUGGUUUGCUUUUCACACCUGCAAACUUUGGAAUAUUACAGUAUACAGAUAAUUAAGAUCGACGUCGGAGAAGACAAAGAUGACC